AAGUUCAGACGCGCACGAAUGGUAUAAUGAUUGGGGAACUGUCUCGAGGACUUGCUCGGUGAAAAUACAAGGGCGGUGAAGAUG
rnacentral:rRNA from 1 species